GAUGAACGCUGGCGGCGUGCCUAAUACAUGCAAGUCGAGCGAACGGACGAGAAGCUUGCUUUUCUGAUGUUAGCGGCGGACGGGUGAGUAACACGUGGAUAACCUACCUAUAAGACUGGGAUAACUUCGGGAAACCGGAGCUAAUACCGGAUAAUAUUUUGAACCGCUUGGUUCAAAAGUGAAAGACGGUCUUGCUGUCACUUAUAGAUGGAUCCGCGCUGCAUUAGCUAGUUGGUAAGGUAACGGCUUACCAAGGCAACGAUGCAUAGCCGACCUGAGAGGGUGAUCGGCCACACUGGAACUGAGACACGGUCCAGACUCCUACGGGAGGCAGCAGUAGGGAAUCUUCCGCAAAGGGCGAAAGCCUGACGGAGCAACGCCGCGUGAGUGAUGAAGGUCUUCGGAUCGUAAAACUCUGUUAUUAGGGAAGAACAUAUGUGUAAGUAACUGUGCACAUCUUGACGGUACCUAAUCAGAAAGCCACGGCUAACUACGUG
rnacentral:rRNA from 1 species